ACAGAGCGACACCAAAAGAGAAUUUUACGAAAACGAGGGUCAAAAAAAUCUGUGUGUAAAAGCCGUCUUAUAGAGUCCAGAUGUCUUUUUAUCUACAUAAGUAUGUAUAUACAGUGGUGGCCACGAAUUUAGCACACACGUCAUUGUUUUUAGUAGGCAUUUUUCCACUGAUCUAAAACAUUUCAGGGAAAAGUCCAGUUUCUGGUUGGCACUUCUGCAAUUCCGUUACUUUUUACACGUUUUAUUUUCAUCAGUUAUAAAAUAAACGCGGUUUUUGUCAAUAGUAUUGAUUUAAAGCUGGACACGAAUUUGGCACAUUUUCUAGUUUGGUGAUAUUCGGUUUAAGUUUUGGGGUGGACAACAAUUCAUUCGAGAAAUAGCAAAAGGUCGCUGAUGUUCAGAAGCAAAGAGGGAUCUAAUCCAAGCAAAACUUUUACUAAAGUUUGGCACAACAAAAAACGUAAAACAGACUCCACGACCGUGAAAAACGUCUCCAAAUGAGAACGAAAUAAUUCGAGGGAUUUUUGUUAACCGUUCAGAAGCUCCAAGGACAUACAAGGACAUACAGAAGGAAUUCGAGACGAACUACGAUAUUGCUGUAUCCUUAAAAACUGUGAGACGUCCGCUGAUUAAUCGAAAUUUUGUAGAUUCGAAUAUGAUGGAAAAAUGUAUGUGGGCGACCUCAAAACAAGCAGUACGAUCCAAGGACAAUUUGCCUUUAAAGCGGAUUUUUAUGCAUGAAACCGACCAAAGCACACAUCGCGACUCGUGAAGAGUACAAAUAAAUCGAUGUUUUAGGAUGGCCAGCCCAGUCUCCCGAACUCAAUCCAAUUGAUAAUUUAUGGAAUGACAUAGAGCAUUAUGUGGAAAAAAAAACGUAGAACUUAGCAGAUUUGUGGACCGAAAUUCAAAAUGCUUAGAAUGCAAUUAGGAAGAGACAAUGCGAGAUUUGAGUUGAAAAUUUAAGUAUUUUCUAUGUACUUAACAGACUGAAGUUAUCAAAAAUAGAGGAUUUACAACUAAAUACUAAAAUAAGAAUUGAAUUAUGUCAAGGUAAGUUUCAGAAGUCGAUGCAAUUGAUUCGUAUCCAGGAUAAGAAAUAUUUUUUUUUUUGCUCUGUUUUCUGUUUUCAAAAUAAGAGUGCUAAAUUCGUGAUCACUAUUGUACACAUAUCUGUAAGUAAAUAUUUAUGUAUAUUUUUAUAAACGUGCCCAAGUAUUGUAUAUAUGUACAUUUCUAUGUGUCUUAUUUUCAAAUAAUGUGUAAAGGUUUGCUUCAAUUGGGCUGAGCAAUGAGCGUAAUCAAAGUGACGAUCAUAUUAACUGCAAACAUCUCCUUACAAUCUUUUAUAUGUUCUCUGCUUUGGUUUUUUGUUAUUCUUUAUUGUCAGCAUGCUUGUGCUAUUUGAUGCGAUGGCUGCGCACUCAUUCAUUCACGUCUGUCCGAAUAUGUUAACUUGUUGACUAGAUGGCUAGUCGCUUGUUGAUUUAUCAAGAGUGCUCAAUUGUUUGGUGUCAUUUUUAUUUUGCACGCUCAACUAUUUGUCACGUGUACAUGUAUGUAUACUUUAUAAUGUGUAGUGCUGGACAUACCUAUUUACAGACGUGUGCGCUUGUUUAUUUGUAUAUACACAUCCAAAUGCACGGAUAAAUGUAAGCAAGUAUGUUCGUUCAUUUCGCUUUCCAGCGUGCCAGUUUGUGGGCCUGUAUUGUCGAUUAGUGUUGCUGCAUGCCCGGCUGUCUGGUCGUCUGGGUGUCUGUCUGUGCGACUGUGCUUUCUGCGCCGUGUUCGCGUUUGUGGCUUCUGGCCCACUAAGCGCUUGCGUACAAUUUACUCUUGUUGUUGCCGAGCAGCCACAACAAAUAACAGACAUGGCUAGACACUGUCUCGCCAGUUGCUCUUCAUUAUCAUAAGCGGUGGUAACAGCAACAGCUGCUGUAACGUCUGCAACAAUAUAACCACCACCAACUACAAAAGCAAUAAGAAAGCAACAACAUCCGCUGCCUUGAGUUACUACCAUGGAAUUCCUUUACCUAUUAAAUUCUUCCCUUUGAUGGUGGAAGAAUGACAUAGAUACCUACCUAUUUCCUAAAAGCACCAAUUUUUUUAGAUCAAACCUGUAUUUUUUAUACCUUAUAUUAUAUAAUUUUCUACACAUAUUUAUCUAAUUAAUUAUAUGUACAUAUUACAUAUCCAUAGUCUAACUAAUUUCAGUUACAGACACUGUCAGUAUAGUAUUUAGUCAUGAUAUGUAAGUUAGUCUAUUUUUAAACUUUUUACCAAAGGAAACGAAGACCCUCUUAGUCAAGUACUUAUGUAUUGUACUAGUAACUACAACGUCAAGUUAAUCAAUUAUACAAGGGUAGUGUACCUUUAAAUUUAAACAAAUAUUUAAUUUUAAUUAUAUUAUAAUAUGAGUUACAAGCAGUUGCUGACCACAGUUAUUAAGUUGAAGGAAAGGAAAAACUCUUAUGCCCUUUGCUUAGUCUUAAAAAAUGCCUUGGAUUAAUUGGCUUUAAGUGGCGAUUUUAAAAAAAUAUCUCUAUCAGUUGACAAUGCGGUCUACUCUUAAUAUGCAUCUUAAAAAAUAAAUAAUGAAACUCUUAUUUUAGUUU